rnacentral:rRNA from 1 species
UCACCAAGGCGACGAUCCGUAGCUGGUCUGAGAGGACGACCAGCCACACUGGGACUGAGACACGGCCCAGACUCCUACGGGAGGCAGCAGUGGGGAAUUUUGGACAAUGGGCGCAAGCCUGAUCCAGCAAUGCCGCGUGUGUGAAGAAGGCCUUCGGGUUGUAAAGCACUUUUGUCCGGAAAGAAAACUUCGUCCCUAACAUGGAUGGAGGCUGACGGUACCGGAAGAAUAAGCACCGGCUAACUACGUGCCAGCAGCCGCGGUAAUACGUAGGGUGCGAGCGUUAAUCGGAAUUACUGGGCGUAAAGCGUGCGCAGGCGGUGAUGUAAGACCGAUGUGAAAUCCCCGGGCUUAACCUGGGAACUGCAUUGGUGACUGCAUUGCUGGAGUAUGGCAGAGGGGGGUGGAAUUCCACGUGUAGCAGUGAAAUGCGUAGAGAUGUGGAGGAACACCGAUGGCGAAGGCAG